rnacentral:lncRNA from 1 species
AAAUAAGCUGAUAGUUGUUUUUUCCUAAAACUUUCUCUGCAAGUUUGUGAUCAUUGUGUUUAGCAAAUAACAAAUUGCUUUUUUAUCUUACAAGUAUAGCUAUAAAAGGUAAAACUCUUUAAUUGAUCUAAAUUUAUAAGAUUCAUGUAGCCACUUCAUUUGGUUUUUGAUUGGUCUUAAAGGUAUAAAUAUGAUCUAACAUGUCUUGGUCAUAGAGAAUUGGUUUAUAAGUUAUUUGGGUAUAAUUAAAAAGAUGUAACACUGGUUACAAAGUUAAGUUAAAAGUAGUAACUCAGAGAUAGAGUCAUUUUCAAACAAAAGCACCUGGCAUAAAUCAGCCCAGAGAACUAGUCCUCUAAAGAUACUUCUAAAUUGAGAUAACAUUUUAUGUAAUUCUUAUCCUAAAAGAUAGACUUAUAAAGAUAAGAUUUUAAAACAAUGUCUCUUUAAUAAAACAUUAAAAUUUAAACUGUCAUACAUUAAUAAAAAUUUUGUAACGUAGUAGUGAUGUUUUUAGUAUUGAUUUUAAGGAGAAUAAAUUGUUUAAAAUUGGGUCUUGCUUUCCAAAAGUUAUAGAUAUGUUCUAAUAUUGCAACAAAAACUUAAAAAUUCUGGUUAAAAUUGCCAGUGUCCCAUUGACUGCAGUUUGCAGUUUAAUCAAAAGCUUAAGACUUUUAACUCACCCAUAAUUAAGAUUAUUACUAAAAUAAUCAACUUAUAAGAGUGCUAAUGCUGCUCACUUGGGACAUUCAGCCAUACAAAACAAAGUAAAAUUAACUAGAUAUAUUCAUCUUUGUACAAAAAUUAGACCCUCACACAAUCAGUUUGACUAUGGCUGCGGCCUUGUAGGACCAUAAAAGGUCAUAAAAGAAAAUGUUUAAGGUGUAAGUCAUCUUAAGAAAGAGUGUCCAAAAUCAGAGGCAUGGACAAACAGUUAAAUUGCUCCUUUAGAAUCUGUCCUCAUUGCAGGAGGGCAAGAUGCUCAAAUUAAAAAAAAAAUAUAUACAUUUGGGUUAAUACAAAACUUAAAGCAGCCUUAGAGAAGCUUGUGCAAAGUUUCUUGCGUUUUACAGACUGCGCCUAAAAAAGUUCUUGAAACUUCACCCUCCCUGCCUUCAGGGAGAAUUUCUUUUAGCUAAACAACAUUUUUUCUUUUCAGAUCUACCCAGGUGUUGUUCAUGAUUAAGUCUAAACUCAAGAUUUAUAAAAGGUCAAUCAGGCUAUAAAACUUAUAAAGGCAUUACAAAAUAACUUGCCUACUUCAUGUAAAAUUAUUAUAGAUUUAAAAGUCUAUUUUUUCCAUUUAUAAAGAGUUUACUUCUAGUGAACUGGUGACCAUUAAAGGUUUUUACCCCUAAGUAUGGCUAAUAUAGUCUUAUAUUAUGUAAGAAAUUUUCAUUGUCCAGGCUUCAAUACAAGAAGCAAAAUAGUUUAAAUCUUUCAGUAUAUAUUGUUUCCUAAGUGGAAAGUAUUUUAUUAACUAAUGUCUCUAGAGAGAAGUUUAAAGUUCUGGAAAAUAGUUGUUGCUUCAUAAGAUUCAGAGGCAAUGUCUUUUUUAAUAUCUAGAGUUUUAGUUAUAUUAAAAAAUUGGUACAAAUUUACUUCAAAAUUUUAUUUUCAAAAAGCUUCCAGGAGAUGUUAAUUGACUAAGACCUCACCUUAAAUUCACCACAAGAAAACCUAAGCCUUUGUUAAGUGGUAUCAAGUGAAGUUCAAGUUAACUGGUGAGAACUAAAAAGGCUUUAACAGAAAGUAGAGAAAACUUCUAUAAUAUAUUGAUAUCGAUUGUAAUUGAUGGCAAUCAAAUAUUAGCUACAUAUUCUAGUUAUUGUUAUUAAAUGUGUCCACAGCUAUUCUUUGGCAAGAAAAAACAUUAAUGUAAAAAUCAUCUUUCUUCACCUCAAAGUUUUAACAUCCUAUUAUAUAUAAGGCUGCUGUGGUACUAAUUAAGAAUUAAAAAUUCUUUUUUCCAAACAGCUAUUAGUUAUUACAAAAUAUUGAUAUUUGACCUAUUGCAUACCAUCAUUUUAAAUAAAAUUAAUAUUCAUCUUAAAAAUAAGCUAAUUGCUUAUUAUACAUACUUUUGUAAAUUCAUACAUACAUGCAUCCCAUUUACUGUAUUUAAAAACAACCUUUCUAUGGAAAGAAAAAUAUAUGUAAAUUGGAUCACAUGUUUAUUCUUUUGAGUUUCUGCCUACAUCAGCACAGAUAAUUAAAUUAUGUGCUGUAGAUAGUGUUUUAAAAUGUUAAAGAUUGCCUGGUAAAAACCUCUUAAGGCAAUGCCACGCUAGAUUUCUAUCCCAGGUAAAUUAUAGAUCUUAUAAAAAAAAUAAAUGCCAUAUAAUCUCAUUCUUUACAUCAUCAAAAUAGUAAUGGCUCGAAAUAAUAAUUUGGUAUUUAAAAUAAAUAAAUAAAUAAAUAAAUGUGCAUGUCAUAUUGUAAAGAUUUGAUCUCACUGUCCUCAGUUUCUACCUGUUCCACACAUUGGUAUUAAUUCUUGAGGACGUAUACUUAAUCAAUUAUUACAAAUAGAUACUUUUUAAUUUUACAAAAAUAAAUCAUGCACAUGUGACUAUUGAUACCUUUUUAAUCUUUCUAAUUACAACUGCUCUAAUAAAAAUAGCAACUAAAAGUAUAGUUGCCUAUGUUGAUUUUUUUUACUUGGUGUUCCAAAUCAAUUAAAACUGGCUAUUAUAGCCAAGCAUUUGAGAUGUUUUAUCAACAAUUUAAUGUUAUCCAUGUUACUGAGAUUUUUAUUAUUCCCAAGGAAACAGUACUGUGGAACCUUAAAUCUAUAUCUUUUAAAAAUUUAGAUGUCAAAAAUCUCUCUAAGUGUCUAUGGCACCCUACAAUCAGACAUACUCAUGAGAUAAAGGGAUCCACUUAUUGGCACAUGGUAUGAUCCUGUUCAGAUACUUAAUAUGGGGGAAAGGGGGCAAUAUUUCUGUUUUUUCCACAGAAUGCUACAAGAGCGUGCUAGCUCCCAAAAUGAUUCAUGUGACAGGCUGACCUGUGAGUUCCUGAGUGCCCUGACAGUGGUGACCAGAAAGCUGUAUUGAGUGCACAGAGGAAAAAGAAAUCAGUCAUUCACAAGCAAAAUAAAGAAACUCUUCCUAUCUCCGCCAUGGACUACAACAAGGAGAGUAGACCUGGUGUCAACUUGGAGACAACUAAAACAGCUGACUUGUGAGGUGGAAGGACUGCUACAAAGUAUUGGACAAGAUUUCAUCAGAGACUGUUUUUGGCCAUUCAGGCCAACUCCCCUAUAGCUGUAAAAGCUUGUGUACCUUACCUGUAUGCUUAUUGUUAGAUAAUUUUAAGAGUUAAGAUCACCAAUCUUAACAAGUCUUUUUAUAUACAUUGUAAUUCCUGUCAAUUAACUAAUUGUGUAGAUCCUAAUUUAAAUAAGGAAUCUACUGUUAUGAUUUUGUUAAAAAGAUUCUGCUUAUGUUUUACUGCCUGUAGAGUUAGGAAACGAUCCUUGGUUUGAGAAUUCGGGAUUGCAAGCUUUAAAAAGACUAAAAGAACUUAUUAGACCUAAGAGAUUUGUAGCAGCUUUGAUCCUGGGAAUUACUGCUUUAAUUGCUAUUUUAACUACCCUUACAAUAUCCACCACAGCCUUAGUACAACAACUGCAUACUGCUCAUUUUGUUAAUGACAUGCAUAAGAAUAUCUCUGUAGCCUUGUCAGAGUUGUAUUUUAUAGAUAAAAAAUUGGAAGCAAAGGUUAACGCCCUAAAAAAAGUCAUGCUGGCAAUAGGGCAAGAUAUUGCUAAUAUCAAGACCAGGUUAGCUACUAAAUGUCAUGCUUCUUUCCAAUACAUUUGUGUUACUCCAUUACCUUACAACGCCACGACUAACUGGGAAAAGACAAAAACUCAUUUACAGGGUAUAUGGAAAGAUACUGAUAUUUCUCAUGACUUAGAACAGUUAAAGGUAAAAAUUUCAGAUAUUAGUAAAAGCCAUCUGGACACUUGGAACAUUGAUGAAUUGGCUAGAGAUUUAAAGAACAACUUAAGUGCAUUAAACCCUCUGGAUUGGGUUCAAUAUAUUAUCCUACUUGUUAUUAUUUUUGGCAUUACUUUAUUAGUAAUCAUUGUGUUUCCACUCAUCUUUAGAGUGCUCCUGAGAUCUGUAGCUACGACGAAGCGGGACAUCCUGGAACUUCGACUGAGAAAUAAAGAUAAAUUAUCAAUUAUUAAAAAAAAAAAGGGUGGAAUGCCAGGGACUCUGGUGGAGUCAGCUUGACAAAGCGAAAGCUGGGAAGCUGAUUCAUGAAGCAAAGAGUUUCAAGGAAACUCCCUUCCCGGGGCUUGGCAUUUUCUCCCUAAUCUAUAUAAACCAUAAAAUUAAUUUUUCCAUUCCCACAUUAGUCUAGUGUAUAGAUCCACGUGCACUCUAUAUAGUAUUACCUUAUAGUAAAUGCCUUUUAAGAUUGUAUUCUAACAUAGCUAAAGCCUUUUUCCAGUGUUCUUAGAUUCCAGAUAGCAGCAAGGAGCUUAACCUAUUCAGUUAACAAUUAAGCACUUGCCAUUUUACUCAGCUGUUUACAGAUAGAGACUAAAAGCCUCACUGAGAUAGAAAUCUUUUACUACAGGCUACUUCCAUGUCAAGUAUAAGUUGAUAUACUACCCUGAUAAGGGGAAACUCUCCAGACAAGAUAAGUUUUAUUAGACCUAAGAAUUUAGAGCUCUGUGAUAGCGCAUUACUCUUAAGGCCUGUCAAGAGUUAACAACCCCCUGAUGCUUUUAACAUUAAAGUGUGAAAUUCUUGCCUGGCAUUAGGCUGAUCCUAGGCAGGGCUUGUUAUCCCUAAUGUAAACAUUUAACUAGUCCCUGUAAAUUCCUUUCUGCUGUAACUGGUGAAUUUCAGUGUAUCUUGUCUUUUUGUGAUUUGUAUCUUCUGAUAAUUCGUUGUUAUAUAAGUCUGAAGCUCAACCAGAACAUUACAUUCAGAUUCAACACAUUUCUCGUGUAAUCUGUCUGUCAUUUUCAUCCGGAAUCUUUGUCCAUCUGCCUAAGAAAUCCCGUUCUUCACAGACCAGGGACCCAGAUUGUCUGUGGCA